rnacentral:lncRNA from 1 species
CCGGAUCCCUCCCACAUUAGACCUACCACACCCUCAGGGCAGACAACAGCUCCACACACCCCACACUCAGCCACCAGGGCAAGGGAGCAAAAUUCCAGAAAGCUCAGAGCGGACUGAUGUACUGGCCCUUAGUACAGCCUCCAGGAUAUUAUGUGUGCACCGGCGUGGGAUCCUGGAACUGGCAGGAAUUGUGGGUUGUGUUAGUCCCUAGACUCCCAUCGCCUAUAUGAAAUAUGGUUCCUUUUGUGGCUUGGGAGGCCAUGGCCAGCCCUGCGAUGCCAUUGACUGGUUACCAUGCCAGCAAUGAUUCCUUUUGAGUUUCUGACAGAAGAUAGUGGUUUUCAUCCAAAUAAGUCAACUACUCUACCCCAUCCCUAAGCCACUUGUAUGGAAAGAAAAAGAGGAAGAAGCCAGUACUGUGACUGCGUAAGCUUCCCCCAGCAUCACCCGCUAUGAGAUGUGUGGCAGCUGAGACCCGGGAACUGCUCAAGGGCACCAGGCCCCAUCUGUCUGCACUCACUCACCUUCCUCAG